GGGUCGUUAGCUCAGUUGGUAGAGCAGUUGGCUUUUAACCAAUUGGUCG
rnacentral:tRNA from 1 species